UACGGGGGUGCGAGCGUUGUCCGGAAUCACUGGGCGUAAAGGGCGCGUAGGUGGUUUGAUAAGGGUGUGGUGAAAGUCCGGAGCUCAACUCCGGAUCUGCCGUGCCGACUGUCAAACUCGAGGGCUGUAGAGGCAGACGGAAUUCCGGGUGUAGCGGUGGAAUGCGUAGAGAUCCGGAGGAAGACCGGUGGCGAAGGCGGUCUGCUGGGCAGUUUCUGAC
rnacentral:rRNA from 1 species